rnacentral:rRNA from 1 species
UGAGUAACCUGCCCUUAACUCUGGGAUAAGCCUGGGAAACUGGGUCUAAUACCGGAUAUGACUCCUCAUCGCAUGGUGGGGGGUGGAAAGCUUUUUGUGGUUUUGGAUGGACUCGCGGCCUAUCAGCUUGUUGGUGAGGUAAUGGCUCACCAAGGCGACGACGGGUAGCCGGCCUGAGAGGGUGAUCGGCCACGUCGGAACUGAGACACGGCCCAGACUCCUACGGGAGGCAG